GAUUAAUGAACUUGAAUAAGUAUAUGUUUUGAAAACAUAAUAUAGAAAUAUAAAUUUCUAUUAAUCU
rnacentral:tRNA from 2 species